rnacentral:rRNA from 1 species
GACGAACGCUGGCGGCGCGCCUAACACAUGCAAGUCGAACGAGCGAGAGAGAGCUUGCUUUCUUGAGCGAGUGGCGAACGGGUGAGUAACGCGUGAGGAACCUGCCUCAAAGAGGGGGACAACAGUUGGAAACGACUGCUAAUACCGCAUAAGCCCACGGUGCCGCAUGGCACAGAGGGAAAAGGAGCAAUCCGCUUUGAGAUGGCCUCGCGUCCGAUUAGCUAGUUGGUGAGGUAACGGCCCACCAAGGCGACGAUCGGUAGCCGGACUGAGAGGUUGAACGGCCACACUGGGACUGAGACACGGCCCAGACUCCUACGGGAGGCAGCAGUGGGGAAUAUUGCACAAUGGGGGAAACCCUGAUGCAGCGACGCCGCGUGGAGGAAGAAGGUCUUCGGAUUGUAAACUCCUGUUGUUGGGGAAGAUAAUGACGGUACCCAACAAGGAAGUGACGGCUAACUACGUG